rnacentral:lncRNA from 1 species
GGUGGCUCUAGCUCUAAGUCUACAAGAUCGCUUUUCUCGUUAGCGAGCUUUGUAGCUUGUUCAAUCUUCUGAAUGUACAGAUUCUGGCGGAGGGUUUGUUAUCAAUCAAUUAAUAGGGAGCACAGCUUACUGGAUUCUAUAUGUUAGAACGCUUGAGUAGUCUAUUUGCCGUCAAAUGAUGAAAUCCCCUUUAAAGAAC